AGGCCACUGCUAUCAGAGUUCGAUUAAGCCAUGCGAGUCGAGAGGUGUAAGACCUCGGCAUACUGCUCAGUAACACGUGGACAACCUACCCUAAGGAGGGGGAUAACCCCGGGAAACUGGGGAUAAUACCCCAUAGACUAUGGGUGCUGGAAUGCUUCGUAGUUCAAAGGUCCGCCGCCUUAGGAUGGGUCUGCGGCCGAUUAGGUUGUUGUUGGGGUAACGGCCCAACAAGCCUGUAAUCGGUACGGGUUGUGGGAGCAAGAGCCCGGAGAUGGAUUCUGAGACACGAAUCCAGGCCCUACGGGGCGCAGCAGGCGCGAAAACUUUACAAUGCGAGAAAUCGUGAUAAGGGAACUCUGAGUGCCCGUAAAAUCGGGCUGUCCAUCUGUUUAAAUAACAGGUGAAGAAAGGGCCGGGCAAGACCGGUGCCAGCCGCCGCGGUAAUACCGGCGGCUCGAGUGGUGGCCACUAUUACUGGGCUUAAAGCGUCCGUAGCUGGUCUGUUAAGUCUCUGGGGAAAUCUUCCGGCUCAACCGGAAGGCGUCUCAGGGAUACUGGCAGACUAGGGACCGGGAGAGGUGAGAGGUACUCCAGGGGUAGGAGUGAAAUCCUGUAAUCCUUGGGGGACCACCUGUGGCGGAGGCGUCUCACCAGAACGGCUCCGACAGUGAGGGACGAAAGCUGGGGGAGCAAACCGGAUUAGAUACCCGGGUAGUCCCAGCCGUAAACGAUGCGCGUUAGGUGUAUCGGUGACACGAGUCACCGAGGUGCCGAAGAGAAAUCGUGAAACGCGCCGCCUGGGAAGUACGGUCGCAAGGCUGAAACUUAA
rnacentral:rRNA from 1 species